AACCCCGGCCGUGUCUGCAGCCCACGGGGCCCCUCAGACGGGCCUCAGGUUGCUGAGGAACAAAGAACCUCUUUGGACGGCAGAAGUCACAGAACCAAGCUGGCUGUGCCACAGUUGACCAACAGGGGGCAGGAUUGUCUUUGAAUCAGAUUCCAUCAAUACGGGCGGCGGAGGACAAAGAGACGACUAUCCGUGCGUUCAGAGGGACGACAUGAACAGAGGUGGUCAGUGUGCUCGGCGACUCCGGGAGGCCGACAAUGGCAGCAGUGUGACGCUGUCUGCUGAUUGAUCCGUCUGACGGUGGCGGCCUGAGACGGACGUCGCAGACACAAAACAAAA